GCUAAAUCGUGUGUUUGGCAUGUUGUUAAUUCUUUUUUUGGAGUUAUUGUACCGAAAGUGUCUUAUUGCUUCAUUUCCUCUCACGAAUUAUUAUGAGUAUUACUUAUGUAUUUUAUUUGUUCUUGCCACAUGUGAAAUCUACCCGAGUUCGUCAUGAACUCCUAUUUCCCUUUGCAUUACAAAUGGGUCAUUCAGGCCCAAUGUUUUCUCCUGCCGAGUCAGCCAGCUACAAGAAUUGGUGUACA
rnacentral:lncRNA from 1 species